UGUUUUUUUCUGUAUGAUUUCACAAACGAUCGAUCGUGUGACAAUUUCCAGUCCUGGGUCAGGUCAGCUGCAACUGUGUGGCCACAGCAAAGGCAUGAAAAGUCUUGAAAAGCCCCAAGGACGGGGAUUCCUAAGUAUGAACAAAGGAGCAGAGAAUAAACCUCUGAAUAGCAUUUGCUAUUUGGCUUGCAACAGCUAGACACUUUGCCAGGAAAAUUGAAAUUAAUUCUGCCAGCUUCAAGCUCCUUCUGGAAAAGGAACUGCCUUGUCACUGUUGCCCUAUUUGUGGGAGUCUGAGCUGAUCUAAGAUUAGCAAAGGUUACCUUAAGAGUUCAUGGAGGAACCUGAAAUCUUGAAAUCAAAUGCUGAUGCACAACUGCUAAGAUGAAUAGGGAAUAUCCCAUCUGGAUGGCUGCUCAGGAACCUGGAUAAAUGAAGGGUGACCGUGGAGUUCAAGAACAGAUCAGAAGUUGUUCUCAUCUGAAAGAUUGAAGCAAAGCACAGCAAUAAAUGAGCAGUUCUUAGAAA